CACGUAGGAGCCAAGCGUUAUCCGAAUUCACUGGGCGUAAAGCGCGUGUAGGCGGCUUGGUAAGUUGGAUGUGAAAGCUCCUGGCUCAACUGGGAGAGGACGUUCAAUACUGCCGGGCUAGAGGGCGACAGAGGGAGGUGGAAUUCCCGGUGUAGUGGUGAAAUGCGUAGAUAUCGGGAGGAACACCAGUGGCGAAAGCGGCCUCCUGGGUCGCACCUGACGCUCAGACGCGAAAGCUAGGGGAGCGAACGGGAUUAGAUACCCCAGUAGUCC
rnacentral:rRNA from 1 species